UGAAUUUCAGUAUCGUCGUGCUGAAAGCCAGAAACUUUUUUCUCUGUGGAUCCAUCCAGCCGGAUAUGUUCGAAUUACAUAGAAAUAAGAAGAGAAGAAUUACGUCAUCACGGAUGGUACGAGAUGGCACGUUAACAUCGGCAUUGGGUGAUGAGUUUGUUUUCAAUUUUUUUGUCCCCACGUCUUCGAGGUUUUUAUACUCCCCUUCAAAAUGGAAUAUUCUAACGAGUUAUUUUGCGGUGCCAUUGUUACGUGCGGAUAAUUAAUGCGCUGAGUUGAGUUUAUCCAACGAAGGGACGUGAUUUUUUCUCGUUACGUGCCAACGGCGUUUAUGCCGCGAGAUCUAAUCGAGAAUAAUUCGUCCAUUCAAGGAAAUAGCUCGUUUUACCUGUGAGAGUGAUAAUCAGUUGACUGGAGAAUUGAAUCGAAUUUUCCCGCUGGAGUCACGAGGAUGAGAAGUUCGAUGAUGCACCGCGUUACGUCGGCGAGUCGCUGCCCCCUGGAAUCCUCCAAUCCAAACUCAUCCGGAAUCAAUCGACCGAGCCGUCAAAACAUUCAAUCAUUUGUUUAUAGCCGAGGAGUGAUGCCAAGUGGAUAUUUUUGAAAACAAUUACAUUACCGUGAAUUUAUUAUUGUGAACAAAGACAUCUAGGUGACAUAUUGAAUUGUAGAGACAUGUCAGCACUCCAGAAGUCAAUUUUGAAGUCGAAACUUCCGCCGUCUGGACUGAAUUUCGCCACUGGGAGGUCUUGCAAGGCCAGAGCUCUGCAACGAAAGCGGGAUUAUGAUCCGGUUCAGUGGACACCGUAUUUCAGUGAAUCUAAGGACAUUGUUGUCGGGGAUAAUACAUUUCACUAUUAUAUUACCGGGGAUGAAGGGCCGACGCUUGUUCUUUUGCACGGUGGGGGAUACAGUGCCCUCACCUGGGCUGAAUUCACCAAAUCGAUUACAUCGAUGAUUGUCUGUCGAGUCCUAGCGAUCGACUUGAGGGGACACGGUGACACGCAUACAACGAAUGAUGAAGAUUUAUCUGCAGAAACAUUAGCCACAGAUGUUGCUGCAGUGAUUGAAGCAGUAACGGAAAACAACCCCGUGGUCUUAGUGGGCCACAGUAUGGGUGGUGCAGUGGCUGUGAGAGCAGCCCCUCUUCUCAAGAAUUUAACUGGUGUCACUGUAAUCGACGUAGUCGAAGGAACAGCUAUGGAAGCAUUGACAUCAAUGCAGAGUUUCCUGAGGUCGAGACCUUCGAAUUUCUCGUCAAUGCCACAGGCCAUCGAGUGGUGUGUCCGCAGUGGUCAGAUACGAAACGUUCUGUCAGCUAAAAUCUCCGUCCCCGGACAGAUAAAGAAUACUCAAACAAACAAACUGGCGACUCAUGAUAUAGAAGAGUUCCUGUUGUCGAAUCAUCACACGGACGAUCAUGCUGCUAUUGCGAUAGAGAGGGAGGACGUCAUCCCUGAGGAUGCCAGUGAAGAGGAUGGUAAAGACGAAGUGAAGCACGAGGCACCAGUGUCGAAGCCACCGGAGAGCCCCAGUAGUAAGAAGUAUGGCUGGAGGAUAAACUUAGCUAAGACUGAGAAAUACUGGACAGGGUGGUUCAAGGGGCUGUCCUCGGCGUUUUUAGAUGUUCCUGCUCCAAAAUUAUUACUCCUCGCUGGGAUUGACAGAUUAGAUCGAGAUCUUACUGUGGGACAAAUGCAGGGUAAAUUCCAAAUGCAAGUACUGCCUGCCUGUGGCCAUGCUGUCCACGAAGAUGUCCCAGAUAAAGUGGCCGAAGCAAUUGCGACAUUUAUGGUCAGGAAUAAAUUUGCUGAGCCAGCCUCUGAUUUCCACCGCACAUUUCCGGCAUGUUAACUGAUGAUUGUCUCCACAGGUAUUCGAAAAAUAGGGAUUUACGAAGAAAUCAUAAACUAGCCAAUGGGGUCUUUCAGCGUGACACAUGGCCCAGCUCUUCCUGCCCUGAGAGGCGCGACCUACAAAAAUAGAACAUGAAAAAACUCUACUCAAGUAACAAUUCUAAAGCUCAAUAAAACAGGGGCUUUGUCAAUUCAUUUGACAUUCCUGACAUUCAAAAAAGAUAAAUGUGUACUCACUUGGUGCCACUCAUUCAGAAUGGGAUCGUAUGCUUCAACGAGAGUGAGAUAUUGUUGUCCAUCGUAUCCACCUACUGCUAACAAUUGAUCUCCCAGGAGACAAACACCCACUGCAUCUCUGGCUACACUCAUUGGUGCUACCAUGGUCCACGUGUCAGUUUUUGGAUCAUACCUUCAAAAACAAACAGAACUCAUUGUUGAAAGUUGGUGAAGUGAUAUAAGAGGACCAGUAAAUUGGACUUUAGAACAGAAAAAUUGAUUUCAGUUUUGAAAUGUUUUAAAAAACUACACUGAGUACUUGAUUUUCAUUACAUUUGUCGGUCAAUAUGUUCAAAUUUACAUUAUUAGAAAAAUAAAAAGAGCAUGGAAAUUUUUAA